rnacentral:lncRNA from 1 species
GAGCUGACACAAGCUCAGUCAUCCUACUCCAAAAAUCCUCUGUGCACCCCGUGGGUACAGAUGACGAUGAAGGUCCAGCCUCUGAAGGUGCUGUAGGAUGAUCCGCAGGUACCUCAGCCUCAGGGAUGGGGUCUCCAAUCUCUGGCGCAUCACCCUCUGGUACAUCACCCUCUGGUGCAUGUAUCCCUGCUCCUGCACGCACCCACUGCCCGUCCACCU